rnacentral:rRNA from 1 species
UACGUAGGGGGCAAGCGUUGUCCGGAUUUAUUGGGCGUAAAGAGCGUGUAGGCGGCCUUACAGGUCAGCUGUGAAAACUCGAGGCUCAACCUCGAGACGUCGGUUGAAACCGUAUGGCUAGAGUCCGGAAGAGGAGAGUGGAAUUCCCGGUGUAGCGGUGAAAUGCGCAGAUAUCAGGAGGAACACCGGUGGCGAAGGCGGGUCUCUGGGCCGUAACUGACGCUGAGGAGCGAAAGCGUGGGGAGCGAACAGG